UCUAAUUCCAGGCAUUUGGAGCCCAGAACCAGCCGCGUCAGCCCCAAAGUCGCGGCCCGAAAGUUAUUUACCAUAACAGAUUGGCGCUAGAAGGAGGGCCGAUCCAAAUGUCAAGCGAUCAUCAAAUUUACCCCGGCAGAUCCUCAAAUGCGGAGCUCCUCGCCUUAGGGGAACGGCGUGACGAAACCCGCGAUGAACGUCCCGCAGCGGUGUCAGAACGCUAUUGGCGGCUAUUCAACGACCCGGGCUUGUCUCCCCCUGGCGGCGCGCCCGCCGACUCCUC
rnacentral:lncRNA from 1 species